rnacentral:tRNA from 1 species
CGCGGGAUGGAGCAGUCUGGUAGCUCGUCGGGCUCAUAACCCGAAGGUCGUCGGUUCAUUCUUUGUUUAUAGAGAGUGGCUCCCGCAACCA